GGGCAUAUAGCUCAGUUGGUAGAGCAAUGGACUUUUAAUCCAUGGGUCUUGGGUUCGAAACCCAAUAUGCUCA
rnacentral:tRNA from 1 species